rnacentral:rRNA from 1 species
GUAAUCCAGGUCAGUUUCUAUCUAUGAAGUACUCCCCCCUAGUACGAAAGGACCGGGGCGGGGCGGCCAAUGCCACCAGCACGCCGCACCCUCACUUGAUGAAAACAACUAAAACAAACAAGAGAGCACACUUUUCUCCCGUAGAUUACGGAAU